rnacentral:rRNA from 1 species
UUAUCCGGAAUCACUGGGCGGAAAGCGUUUGUAGGUGGUUUAAUAAGUCAAGUGUUAAAUCUUGAGGCUCAACCUCAAAAUCGCAGUCGAAACUAUUAGGCUAGAGUAUAGUAGGGGUAAAGGGAAUUUCCAGUGGAGCGGUGAAAUGCGUAGAGAUUGGAAAGAACACCGAUGGCGAAGGCACUUUACUGGGCUAUUACUAACACUCAGAGACGAAAGCUAGGGUAGCAAAUGGG